UAUAAUCACCGCGAUGCGAGAGAUUGAACUUCAACGGCAAAUACUGUGCGAUGAGCGGCAGCUACUUGAGGGUGUGGUGGUCAAUGGGCAGGCGGGGCCAUGGUGCUCGGCGCCGCGGUGAGCGGCGGCAGGCUUUGGGGUCGGGCGGCGCUGCGGCGGAUAUCGUGGCGGGUGACCUCGGCGUCAUUGGGGUUGUGGAUGGCUUGGCAAGUUGGCCGGGGAUUGUUCUCUUAACCGCGUUGUGCAUGGCCUCUCAUCACGGCUGACGGAGACAAGGGUUCGGUGGUUCCAUGCCACCGAGGAUUUGUAGGAGACAAUGGAUCUGUGACUGUGAGUACAUUGUUGCAGCUUUCCCUCGGGAUAAAGAAGAUUGGGAUUUGAAAUUUGAUGCGUGCUUACCUUAGACCAAUUUACUUUUUGCCAUGAAUUUCUUAGUUACGGGGUGGGAUAUGAGGGAUUUUUACUAUCUAAUUCUUGUAUGCAUGAUUUUCUAAUUCUUUUUAAGAUGUGAUCUCGUUGUGUGUUGCGGGGGGUGCGCCCAUUGGUCGGCGGCAGCGUUGAGGCCAGCAGAGACGCGGGGGGCUUCGCGACUGGUGGAGGCUUCGUCGGUCGACGGCCAGGCCUUGCGGGAGGCUUCGUAGUCUCAUAGCAUGGUGUUUGGCCUGCACCAUGUCCGGUGUCCUGGGCAGCAUUGAGCAUCUCGAUUGCAAUUUCCCUACCUGAGUGCCACUAGUCGCCCCAACAUCCAGAUCUCGCCCAUAUUAACCAGGCAGAGGAUGAGAGGACCCCCAGGUGCCUCAAAAGAUUGCAGCCGCCAAGGUAAAUCUUUACCUUCACUCAAGUGACUAAGAGAAGCUAGAAAAGAAAUGAUGAGAGAAGCCAGACAGCUGAUUGAAGAAAGCAAAUGAAAACACAAGAUAGAGACAAGCUGCAUUUAUUCCCCAGGGUUACCUUUACCUUCUAGAUACUUAUCAGUACGAUUCUCCUUCUCUUGUACAUAAUUAGUCAGUACUGGUUAUUACUGAACACUUGUUAUUUUUGUUUCAGGAGAACACUUCAAGUCCAUCUGAUUCCUUUUUUUCGUGCGAAAAUAUAGCUGAUUUUUUAUACCUAUCAAUCGGGAUAAUGAGGUUGCUGACAUGCCCACAUCUUCAGAGGUACUUGUUCAAGUGGUUGUCAGCUAAUGUAUGAGGGAUAGAGAGUAAUGUUUUUAUAUUUAGGAUGGGUAUGAGUAAUGUUAAAUUGAAAUUUCAGAACUUCUUUUGCAAAUAAACAGUAGCAAAAUUCAGGUUUUGGCGAG